AAUAUUCUAUUGGCGAUGGAUCAUAGGUGAAAAUAUAUAGAUAUAAAAUUGAACGAAAUACUUUAAUAUUCAUUCAAUAAUGAAUGUUCUAAUUACCUCUUUAAAUAUUUUUAUUCGUCUUUCAAGCAUUUCUGAAUUUCAAAUUUACCGCCAAUUCGCUACGAGACUCUCGAGUAUCUUCGAUAUCUCGAGAACUACAACGGUUUCUUUCGAAUCGCAAGCAGUCAUGGCGUUGCGGCGGUUCACGAAACCGCAAUCGAGUGCUCUCCGUAUUUUUCGCAAUUAUUAUUAUUUGAAAGUAGAUUUAGCCGGCAAAAAACUAACGCGAGUGUUUCAUAGACAGGUGUGUCAAACGUUCGUCGCAAGUUAAACGUGCGCAAGAGUUAUACAUGCAAAUGUUGCAAUUUAUCAACGCAUCGGCGAUGUACUUUUCUACCUCCGGAAGGAGUCGACCGAUAUCUCCUUUUCUUCACCUAAAAUACAGUCAAAGCGCAACGGAUGCACCAAUGGAUCAUUGCCAGCUAGACGAACGCAAAAUGUAAUAUCUCACAAAUUUGUUGGUUCCAUGUGACCUCGUUCAACAAUUGAUAUCAAUCAUAAAGGAAUACCGCCAGAUAUAAUACCAGGAAAACAAAAGAUCGACAUUGUGUGCACACAACUCUGUCAUUGCAUCAUAUCGUUGUACGUACCAUGUCGAAGAGCAGGGUGCAAGAAAGUGCAAGCAAGGGGGCUUUGUGUUGCCAGGGCGAUUCAGUGACCCGCCGUGGAUAUUGCCCGUCACCGAGGGUGAAUGAAAAGGGAAUAUAGCAACCCCUGAAUCGCGGGAUAAAUAUCGCUCGCGAGGGACCCUCCCACGUAAGAAUUCCUAAUUCAACGUCGGACGGGAGCGAGAGACAGAGAGGAAGAAGGAGGAACAGGCACGCCUUGUGUGCACACGCGGAACCCUCGAAUUUUAUCGAUUUUAUCGCCCCCUUUUAUUCCUUCGCUCGGAACUCUGAACGCGAAGGGGUGGACGAAUCCGACGCGAAAUCGAAAAGUGCUUGUUCCUUCGUUUCCGGUGUAAUAUUCUGUGUAAUUGCAUAAUUUAUUUGGAGAUAAAAAGAGGGUACAUCUUUGCGGUCUCUGAAUUGGUCGUGGAUAUUCGAUUAAUUUUGAAUGAAAAUAUAUUAAUAGUAAAUCA